rnacentral:rRNA from 1 species
CUACGGGAGGCUCCAGUCGAGAAUCUUCCGCAAUGGACGAAAGUCUGACGGAGCGACGCCGCGUGCGGGAUGAAGGCCUUCGGGUUGUAAACCGCUGUCAGUGGGGAGGAAAUGCAUCAGGGUUCUCCCUGGUGUUUGACCGAUCCGCAGAGGAAGCGCAGGCUAAGUUCGUGCCAGCAGCCGCGGUAACACGAACUGCGCGAACGUUAUUCGGAAUCACUGGGCUUAAAGAGUUCGUAGGGGGCCUUUAAAGUCGGGUGUGAAAUCCCUCGGCUCAACCGAGGAAUUGCGCCUGAUACUGUUGGGCUUGAGGGGGAUAGGGGUGAGCGGAACUGAUGGUGGAGCGGUGAAAUGCGUUGAUAUCAUCAGGAACACCGGUGGCGAAGGCGGCUCACUGGAUCUCUUCUGACGCUGAGGAACGAAAGCUAGGGGAGCGAACGGAUUAGAUACCCCCGUAGUC